GCUGCUGUGAAUGAUGACUGAUCUUUUUUCCCCAGCAGAUCGACUGUGUUGACUGCUGAAUGCAUUAAAGCCAAACAUGUCUGACACAUUAGC
ensembl:snoRNA small nucleolar RNA, C/D box 12B